GAGUUUGAUCGUGGCUCAGAUUGAACGCUGGCGGCAGGCCUAACACAUGCAAGUCGAGCGGUAGAGAGAAGCUUGCUUCUCUUGAGAGCGGCGGACGGGUGAGUAAUGCCUAGGAAUCUGCCUGGUAGUGGGGGAUAACGCUCGGAAACGGACGCUAAUACCGCAUACGUCCUACGGGAGAAAGCAGGGGACCUUCGGGCCUUGCGCUAUCAGAUGAGCCUAGGUCGGAUUAGCUAGUUGGUGAGGUAAUGGCUCACCAAGGCGACGAUCCGUAACUGGUCUGAGAGGAUGAUCAGUCACACUGGAACUGAGACACGGUCCAGACUCCUACGGGAGGCAGCAGUGGGGAAUAUUGGACAAUGGGCGAAAGCCUGAUCCAGCCAUGCCGCGUGUGUGAAGAAGGUCUUCGGAUUGUAAAGCACUUUAAGUUGGGAGGAAGGGCAGUAAAUUAAUACUUCGCUGUUUUGACGUUACCGACAGAAUAAGCACCGGCUAACUCUGUGCCAGCCGCC
rnacentral:rRNA from 1 species